rnacentral:rRNA from 1 species
UACGGAGGAUGCGAGCGUUAUCCGGAUUUAUUGGGUUUAAAGGGUGCGUAGGUGGUGAUUUAAGUCAGCGGUGAAAGUUUGUGGCUCAACCAUAAAAUUGCCGUUGAAACUGGGUUACUUGAGUGUGUUUGAGGUAGGCGGAAUGCGUGGUGUAGCGGUGAAAUGCAUAGAUAUCACGCAGAACUCCAAUUGCGAAGGCAGCUUACUAAACCAUAACUGACACUGAAGCACGAAAGCGUGGGGAUCAAACAGG